rnacentral:rRNA from 1 species
AUUGAACGCUGGCGGAAUGCUUUACACAUGCAAGUCGAACGGCAGCACGGACUUCGGUCUGGUGGCGAGUGGCGAACGGGUGAGUAAUGUAUCGGAACGUGCCCAGUCGUGGGGGAUAACGUAGUGAAAAUUACGCUAAUACCGCAUACGAUCUAUGGAUGAAAGCGGGGGAUCGCAAGACCUCGCGCGAUUGGAGCGGCCGAUAUCAGAUUAGGAAGUUGGUGGGGUAAAGGCCCACCAAGCCAACGAUCUGUAACUGGUCUGAGAGGACGAGCAGCCACACUGGAACUGCGACACUGUCCAGACGCGUACGGGAGGCAGCAGUGGUGAAUUUUGGACAAUGGGCGAAAGCCUGAUCCAGCCAUUCCGCGUGCAGGAUGAAGGCCCUCUGGUUGUAAACUGCUUUUGUACAGAACGAAAAGGUUUCUACUAAUACUAGGAGCUCAUGACGGUACUGUAAGAAUAAGCACCGGCUAACUACUUGCCAGCAGCCGCCGUAA